CAGACGGGUGGCAGCAGGAGGGAAUAUGGAGCAAUGGGGGAAAGAAGGAAGAAGCAAAGAAGAGGGGAGGAUGAAGGUUUUCGGAUUGUAAACUCCUUUUGUUAGAGAAGAUAAUGACGGUAUCUAACGAAUAAGCACCGGCUAACUCCGUGCCAGCAGCCGCGGUAAUACGGAGGGUGCAAGCGUUACUCGGAAUCACUGGGCGUAAAGAGCGCGUAGGCGGGAUAGCAAGUCAGAUGUGAAAUCCUAUGGCUUAACCAUAGAACUGCAUUUGAAACUGUUAUUCUAGAGUAUGGGAGAGGUAGGUGGAAUUCUUGGUGUAGGGGUAAAAUCCGUAGAGAUCAAGAGGAAUACUCAUUGCGAAGGCGACCUGCUAGAACAUAACUGACGCUGAUGCGCGAAAGCGUGGGGAGCAAACAGGAUUAGAUACCCCUGUAGUC
rnacentral:rRNA from 1 species